CUCUUACCGCUCCCGUGCCGGCGGCGCCGCCUUCGCGGCAGCUGCUCCCGUCACUGGCUCCCAGUGCCGCUUACAGACCCUUUCAGCAUUCCGCCCUUACCUUGGCAACAAGUUCUUUACUAUGAGGGUGCUGGAGCACUGGAACAGGUUGCCCAGGGAGGUGGUUAGGUGUCUUCCCUGAAGACAUUCAAGAUCUCCCUCUCCGCCGCUGGCCAGGCCACCGGUUCCGAAGCAGCUGCUCUCGCCGACCGUCCGAGUGACCAUUCCAACCUCCUGCCGCUGCCCAGUAUUGCUCUUUGGAAACAAACAAUUUUAGAAUCACUGAACAAUCUGAUUCUGGAGAAGACAGACACUUUCAGAGGUA